UUUAGCCGGCGACAGCAUUUUCCCCGACGGCGGCGACACACGAACCCUCGGUCAAACCACGAACCGCCGUUGCUUCUUCCUCGAAGCUCCAUUUCUGAUAGCAAUCUCUGUACACUCCGGCGACGAUUUCUUUCGCCGAAACCCGAAUGCCUUUUGACUCCGACGAGAAUCUUUGCAUCUUCCCGUUGACUUCUCUCAGGUUGACCCAACAGUCUUGUGACCCUUAAGGACUUGUGUCCCUUUCUGUUUCUUCAGAAAAGAGACGCUGUCCUGUUAGUAUCAUGUAGAUGUUGCAACCUUAAUUUCGUCUAUGUAGAAUGUACUCCCCUGCCAAGUAUGUGUAAGCCUCCUGGAAUCACCUAAAGGAAAUUGGUUUUGCUCCAUUGGACUGUAUGAGGAUCAACUCCACAUUACAAAAGUUAUGUCUUGGUUUAGAUAGAUGAAGCAAGAGAGAACUGAUGUAGAUUCCAUCAAUGAUCUUGACAUCAGAUGGUGAUUGAUCAGUGGCAAAGCCAAAUGUUCUUGCUUCCAGCAGCUGACGAGGCAGGUCUCUUAUGGAUGAACAACUUUGGGUUAGAAAAGCUCGCACGUUAAUAGCUCAGCAAGUACAUAAAGACGUGCUACCAAAUGGUGAGGUUCAAAGGAGCAUCCAUGCUGCAGAAACCGGUGCACUCGCACCAAGUCGUUGACAAUAAGAUAAAAUUUUGAUUUGAAACAACCCAAUGAGUUGUAUGUUCAUCCUUUGUGUUGAGGUAAAGCAAGUCAUGUAUUUGGUUAAAGAUGGAUUAAAGAGUGAAGGGGUUAGGAGGCUUUUAAUGAGUUUUUACAACAGAGACGAGUAAAUUUUGUAGAUGCGGAGCUCUUUUUUUUUUGUUGUUACGUAUUAGGUUCACAUUUCUUACAAAGAAUGAAGAAUGUUUUUGUUUGGAUUAUUUAUUAUACAAAACAAACCACAAUGCUCCAAAUUAUG